rnacentral:rRNA from 1 species
ACGGAAGGCAGCAGUGGGGAAUAUUGCACAAUGGGCGCAAGCCUGAUGCAGCGAUGCCGCGUGAGGGAAGAAGGUUUUCGGAUUGUAAACCUCUGUCAACAGGGACGAAAAUGACGGUACCUGUGAAGGAAGCUCCGGCUAACUACGUGCCAGCAGCCGCGGUAAUACGUAGGGAGCAAGCGUUAUCCGGGAUUACUGGGUGUAAAGGGAGUGUAGGCGGGACUGUAAGUCAGAUGUGAAAUAUGCCGGCUCAACUGGCAGACUGCAUUUGAAACUGUAUAGCUUGAGUGCAGGAGAGGAAAGCGGAAUUCCUAGUGUAGCGGUGAAAUGCGUAGAUAUUAGGAGGAACACCAGUGGCGAAGGCGGCUUUCUGGACUGUAACUGACGUUGAGGCGCGAAAGCGUGGGGAGCAAACAGGAUUAGAUACCCUGGUA